AUUGAACGCUGGCGGCAGGCCUAACACAUGCAAGUCGAACGAGUGGCGGACGGGUGAGUAAUGUCUGGGAAACUGCCCGAUGGAGGGGGAUAACUACCGGAAACGGUAGCUAAUACCGCAUACCAUCGGAUGUGCCCAGAUGGGAUUAGCUAGUGGGUAGGGAAACGGCUCACCAAGGCGACGAUCCCUAGCUGGUCUGAGAGGAUGACCAGCCACACUAGAACUGAGACACGGUCCAGGCUCCUACGGGAGGCAGCAGUGGGGAAUAUUGCACGAUGGGCUCAAGCCUGAUGCAGCCAUGCCGCGUGUCUGAAGAAGGCCUUCGGGUUGUAAAGUACUUUCAGCGAGGAGGCGUUACUCGCAGAAUAAGCACCGGCUAACUCCGUGCCAGCAGCCGCGGUAAUAC
rnacentral:rRNA from 1 species